GAGCGCGCCGUCCUGGCCCGGGGGUCGGCUCUGGGCGCACGGCGGUGCUUCACAGGAUGGUACACUACGCAUGGGACAGGUCGGGAGGGUGGGGGGCGAGUGUGCGCGCGCACGUGCUUGCUUGUGGGGGUGUGCGUGCGUGCGAGAGACAGUGUGUGCUAUAACAUUCGUGUCAGUCUUCCUUGAACGCUGCAGUUCCUGAUCUCGGGACAGGCGCUGGGCUUCACGCUUCUGAAAGACUGGAUGAAGGGACAAAAGACAAGAGACAGAACGCUGGAAUGAAAAGCACAAAGCAAGAAAUCACAUGGGAAGACUAAAAUCUUGAUUGUUAUGUCACUUGUCCACUACCUUUAAUAGAAGAAGGAAAGGCUCACCUUGUUACACCAUCUCGUACUGGUUAGCAGUAAUAAACCGGGACAGGCAGCACGCCAGCAGCAUCCCAAUCAACUGUUUCAAACAAGAACGGAAGAAGUUAUGUUGAGUGAAUGCAGAGCAAAGGAGAGGCUGUGGGCUCUUUUCAGUGGAGAGUGGAGACAGGACAAGGGGAAAUGGCUGGAAACUGCAGCAUAGGAAGUUCCGCACAAAUGUGCGCAAGA